rnacentral:lncRNA from 1 species
AAUCUUUUAGCCCUAAAUUACAGCCCUAAAAUCGAGUUGUUAAGGCUCAUUCCAGCAAACGCCAAAUCACCAUUUCAUUCGGUGGCCGACAAUGCACGAGCAGCGACCAGAUUCCACCGACGAAGGCACCAUUCAAGGAAACCUGGUAUGCUAUUUUAUUUUUUAUUUUUUUUAAAAAACCCUAGAUCUAAUACUAUUCAUUCAAGAAAGAUGAAGCCAAAUAUAAAAAACACUUAAUACCAUCCGACCCUCAUCCGUAUCUCAAUAUUUUUGAGAUAUUUGGACUUCAUUGGUGUCAUUUCAAGUAUUUUGUAUGCAGAGGAUUGUAAGUAAUUCGAAAGAAAAAGAAUAAGAAAUCACCUCUUUAAAAUUUCUUUCUAUUCGAUUGCUUUGUAUAUGUUUUUGUGUGCGUAAUAUACGUGUAAAAAAAAGGGAACUUUACGAUCAAAAUCUACAGGGCUUUAUAGCCGAAUAAUCAUAAGAAAAGAUACAACAAUUUUUCUCUCUAUUGGUUGUUGCUCUGUUGCUGUUCUCUUAUUUUCUUUUGCAAGUACGGGGUACGGGGCAUGUGCUGGCACUUGUCGUGAGGCGUAUGGAGGCGCAGGCGUGGCUAUGGCGCCAGGAGGCCGUACGGGGCUUAGCGGCUGGAGGUUACUGUUGCGGCGUAAAAAGGGGGUGACCUAGGGUUUCUGAAACUGUUUUAGUUUUUGGGCCGUUUGGGCCUUGAAUUUUUGGACUAUAAUUGGACUUUUUAUUAUUUGGUUUUUUAAUUAUUUAUUAUUUUGGGAUUUGAUGUAGACCCGGGCAAAUUGGCCCAUGUAUAGCUGCCCCUCUUUGCUCAUUGUCGUGUAACGAGAAUAGAGCAAAGACUAUAAAUGGGCCAAUUUUGCCUGGACCUGCUGGGUCUUGACUUCUUUUGGCGCUUCUUUUCUUCUUCUUCAAAUAAUCUCACUCCAAUCGACUGUAUCUUCAGGGAUAUAGGAAUUGGUUCUUUGACCCACUCCGACGUAAUUUCCACGAUAGGAGAUUUGUGUGUUUUUAUCCUGCUCUACUGCAACUUCAAAGAGAUAAGGAUUGUGACUUCGAUCUGCUCCACUGCAACUUCAGGGAAAUAAGAUCUGCUAACUUCAGUCUGCUCCACUGCAACCUCAGGGAGAUAAGACUUGUAAUUUACAGCCUGUUACCUUACUGCUUAGGGGGUUAAGGUCACCGUCUUCGAUUUGCUCCACUACUACUUAGGAAGACAAGAUCUACAAUCUUUGGCUUGUUACCCUACUACUUAGGGGGUUAAGGCUCACUGUCUUUGAUCUGUUCCACUGCAACUUCAGGGGGACAAGAUCUGUAAUCUUCAGCCUGUUACCCUACUACUUAGAGGGUUAAGGCUUGCUUCUUCAAUUUGCUCCACUACUGUUUAGGGAGACAAGAUCUGCAAUCUUCAGCCUGUUACCCUACUACUUAAGGGGUUAAGGCUUGCUUCUUCGAUCUGCUCCACUACUGCUCAGGGAGGCAAGAUCUGUGAAUUCACUGAUGUUGCUACACCAUCCUCUAAGGGCAUGAUUUGUAGAAUCGGUUUUCUAUACCUAUGCUUAUGCCAAAUAAUUAGGAUGUAAUGAUCAAAAUGAGUCAAAUGCUCCUACUAGAUAAAUGAUUAUGAAUGCAGAAAUGUCGUGAGAAUGAUUUCUUUUUUAAAUGCUUAUGUUAUCAUUGCUCACAGUUCAUCAGGGCUCUAUCAUUGAUGUGCCAUCGUGUCUUCUUGUUUAGCCAGUAUCUUUGACAAAAAAUUUGAAGAAAUAGUCACAAUUUGGACUAUUCUUUUCCAAUGUUUCCAACUUUUGAAUCUGGUUAGUCCUGACUAGUGGCCCUGUUUCAGGUCCUUGUACUAUUUAGAGACCUUCCAGAGUAAUAUGUAUAACUUUUUUUUUUGUGAUUAUAAGUCCAAAAAAUCGUGAUUUCAAAAAAAAUGCUCGAAAGAAACUAUCAUAAUGGACAAGAUGGAAUUUUAUUGAACAAAACUCAAAGUGAAUAAAUUAAACAGGAUAGCAAAUCUGCUAAGGUACAAUAUGAGAUGAGAAAAAGGUGUCCCAAAUAUCGCAGCACGAGCUUCACUAUUCUAACUUCUCAAAGGCCAGUUCAAGUUAAAUAUGUGCUUAGGAGAUCCCGCGUAUUCUGUUGAUGCUCCAAGAUGUACUGUUCAUCCCUCUUGUUAAUUUAGGGAGGACAAAACUACCACAUACCCCAUAUUCAAGAUUUGAGCUGCCCCUUUUCGGGUUUUCAACUCAAAACCCCUUUGGUCUCAAAGUGCCCUUUGCGGGUUUCCACCUUGGCCUUUCUAUUUUUUUUUUGGUUUCAAAGUGCCCUUUGCGGGUUUUUACGUUGGCCUCUCCCUCUUUAGGUAAAAUACUUUUUGACAGAAUCCGAAUUCACGGGAUUGGGCAAGUUUUUACCAUCCAUUUCGGCUAGAAUUAACGCUCCUCCGGAGAAAGCUUUCUCCACUACAUAAGGCCCCUCCCAAUUGGGCAUCCAUUUUCCUCUAAAAUCCUUCUGUAUAGGAAGGAUCUUUUUCAGAACCAGAUCUCUCUCAUGAAACUCUCUUGGGUAGACCUUUUUGUCAUAAGCCCGCAUCAUUCACUUUUUGUACACCUGACCAUGACGGAUAGCUCUUAGCCUCUUUUCUUCAAUCAAGUUCAAUUGAUCGUAUCGAGACUGGAUCCACUCUGUUUCAAAUAACUUUAACUUCGACAAUACUCGAAGGGAUUGGAUCUUGACUUCGAUUGGCAAAACCACUUCCAUUCUGUAGACCAAAGAGAAAGGUGUUGCCCCAGUAGAGGUUCUGACUGAUGUUCGAUAAGCCAAGAAGGCAAAUGGUAACUUCUCAUGCCAAUCUUUGUAGGUCUUAGUCAUCUUCCCCGCAAUCUUCUUAAUGUUUUUAUUGGUUGCUUCCACUGCGCCAUUCAUUUUCGGGUGAUAUAGUGACGAGUUGUGGUGUCUGAUCUUGAAUUGACUGCAGACUUUCGCUAUCGUACUAUUGGUCAAGUUUAAUGCAUUGUCAGAUAUGAUCCUCUCCGAUAUUCCAUAUCAACAUAUGAUCUUUUUUUUUAGAAAUUUGCUCACUGCCGACUUUGUGACAUUGGCAUAUGAAGCGGCUUCUACCCAUUUGGUGAAGUAGUCGAUAACCACAAAGAUGAACCAAUGCCCAUUAGAAGCUUUCGACGAGAUAGGUCCAAUCACAUCCAUACCCCACAUAGAGAAAGGCCAUGGGGAAGUCAUGAAAUGCAGCGGUGAAAGAGUCACAUGAAUUUUGUCUCCAUAGAUUUGGCAUUUAUGACAUCUCUUGGCGUAACUGACACAGUCUCCUUCCAUAGUGGACCAAUAAUACCCAAAUCUCAUAAUUUUCCUGGCCAUUGUAAAGCCAUUAGCGUGUGUCCUACAGACGCCCUCAUAGACUUCUUCUAAGAUUUUCUUAACCUCUACAGCGUCUACGCAUCUUAAUAGCACUUGAUCUUUUCUUCUUUUGUAUAGGAUCUCUCCAUCUAAGACAUAGUCAAUGGCCGAUCUUCUCAGCAUCCUUUUCUCAUUCUCGCUUGCCUGGUCCGAGUACUCACGAUUCCUCACGUAUUGCAAUAUAUCGUGAUACCAAGGGUGAUCAUCUUUUUCUUCAUCUUCUUCAAUAUUGUAACAGUGAGCCGGAGUUUUAUAAAUGCUCAUCCGGAUGGGUUGGACAUCUUCUUGUUUGUUCACUUUGAUCAUGGAAGCUAAGGUGGUCAAAGCAUCGGCCAUCUAAUUUUUGUCCCGUGGAAGGUAGCAGAAGGUAAUGUCAUCGAACUCUUUAACCAAUUCAAGGACCAGUUUCUGAUAAUCGAUCAACUUGGGGUUUUUGGUCUCCCAUUCUCCCUUAAAUUGAUAAAUCACUAACGCAGAAUCUCCGUACACCUCUAGCACUUUAAUCUUGAUUUCUAUGGCUAUGGCUACACGGAUACCCAUGAUGCACGCUUCGUAUUCUGCCAUGUUAUUCGUACAAUCAAAAUCCAAUUUACUAGUAAAUGGAUAGUGAUCUCCAUUUGGAGAUACCAAAACUGCCCCGAUCCCAUUAACCACAGCAUUUGAUGCCCCAUCGAAGUUUAGUUUCCAGAGAAGUUCUUCCAGAGCACCUUCUUCAGUGGUCGCAACACAUAUCAGGUCUUCAUUCGGGAAAUCGAAGUUCAAGGGCUCGUAAUCUUCCAGAGCUCUACUGGCUAGAAAAUCUGCUAUUGCACUCCCUUUUACUACUUUCUGGUUCACAUAGACUAUGUCGAAUUCAGAGAGCAGAAUUUACCAUUAGGCCAUCCUUCCAUUCAAAGCUGUUGACUCCAUCAUGUACUUUAAAGGGUCCAGUUUUGAGAUGAACCUAGUAGUGUGAUACAACAUAUAUUGCCUCAACCUUCGGGUUGUCCAAACCAGGCACAACACAACUUUUCUAUCGGCAGAUAUCUCGUCUCACAUUCAGUGAACUUUUUACUAAGAUAGUAAAUAGCUUUUUCUUUCCUUCCUGACUCAUCAUGCUGACCAAGUACGUAUCCCAUGGAAUUCUCAAAUACUGUCAAAUACAAUAUCAAUGGCUUAUCGGGGUUAGGUGGCAUCAGUACCGGAGCAUUGGAUAAGUACUGUUUGACCUUGUCAAAAGCCCUUUGGCAUUCUUCAUCCCAUACACCUGGGUUAUGUUUCUUGAGGAGGCGGAAAAUAGGAUCACAUUUCUCGGUUAGUUGUGAAAUGAACCAAGCGAUGUAAUUUAAUCUUCCUAGAAAGCCUCGAACCUCUUUCUGGGUAUGCGACGGCGAUAGCUCUUGUAUGGCUUUGACUUUGUCUGGAUCGAUUUCAAUCCCUUUCUCACUAACCACGAAUCCGAGAAGCUUUCCAAACAUGGCUCCGAAGGUAUAUUUGGCUGGAUUGAGUUCUAGCUGAAACUUUCUCAACCUUAAGAACAACUUCCUCAGGACUUGUACAUGCUUCUCCCUAGUUCGGGACUUGGCGAUCAUAUCAUCGACAUAAACUUCAAUUUCUUUGUACAUCAUGUCGUGAAAAAGGGUUACCAUGGCCCUUUGAUAUGUUGCCCCCGCAUUUUUCAGUCCAAAUGGCAUCACCUUGUAGCAGAACGUGCCCCACAUGGUUACAAAUAUGGUCUUCUCCAUAUCUUCAGGAUGCAUUUUGAUCUGGUUAUAUCCGGAGAAACCGUCCAUGAAGGAAAUUAGCGAGUUUCCUGCCGUGUUGUCCACUAGGGUGUCAAUAUAGGCAGUGGGAAAUUAUCUUUCAGGCUGGCUUUAUUCAAAUCUCUGUAGUCUACACACAUUCGUACUUUUCCAUCCUUUUUAGGGACAGGGACGAUGUUGGCUACCCAUUCUGAGUAUUUUACCACCUUUAAAAAUCCAGAGUCAAACUGCUUUCUAACCUCUUCUUUUAUUUUUAGCAAGACGUCGGGCCUCAUUCUUCAGAGCUUUUGCUGAACUGGCUUACAUUUUUCCUUUAUAGGGAGUCGUUGCACCACGAUAUCAGUGUUCAACCUGGGCAUAUCUUGGUAUGACCAUGCGAAGACAUCUUUGAAUUCUUGAAGUAAUUCGAUAAGGUCUCACUUCACUCCAUGGUGAUACAAGUUCCGAUCUUCACCUCUUUCCCCUCUCCUACGCUCACAAUUUCUACUGAUUCUUUGUGAGGUAGGAUUUAUUUCUCGUCAUGUUCUACCAUCCUCAACAAGUCAGGAGAUAGGUUACAGCCUUGGUCAUCUUUGAAAUCUUGAGAAUCCUCCACACACAUAUCCCGCUCAAAAGGAGACUCUGAGCCACUAGUAGUGUCACUCAUAUCAUUGAUAUCUAGGGACCUGUUAUGAGGAUGAAAGAAGAUACAAAGAACCAAAAGAAUUUAAAAAUACUUAUCUGUAUGGUAUGAUUAUGAAUGAAGAACGAAGGAAUGUUUAGAAGAAUGUUCAAAGGACAAAAGAAUCCAAAAGUAAUUAUUUGUAUAAUAUGAUUAUGAAUGAAAUGGAAAGAAUGAAAGAAUAUCUGCUGAAAAUGAUAAUAACUGAGCAUUUUAUUGAAAUAACGUUUUUGAACAUAAGCCUAUUUCUCAAAAGAUUCUUAUUACUCCUAGGCCUGCAACAAUAAGUGUGUUUUGCACAUUACUCUGAGUCAGCUUUAAAAACUACAGGAAUCUCUUCCGCAGUCCAGUUAUCCAAAACACUUCCAGGUAUGUAGAGGUAAAUGCCCGACAAAUUUUCUCCUCCAACCCCUUCUUCGUAUGUGGCGUUGAUGUCUAAGCUUUCCAACCUUUCUUCUGUAGCUUCCUUUCUUGGCGUGCCCCGCUCAGGAUGAAUGAUGCCUCUAGACACAAAAGUUUUUGAUAUGUGGGGGAAUAUCAUUGGCUCCCAUUUGAUUUCCUCCCCCUUCAACCGUGCUCUCAUUCUUUCUUGUUUCUUUUCCAGCUCCAUUUUCCUUUAUCUCGCAUCCGGCUUAAAUCCUAAGCCGAAACGGUCUCUCUUGUCCUUCAAUACUGGCGUUUCAACCCUUCCUUGAAGAUGUCUCCUAAGUCCUCUUCCCGGUAGAGCUCAUUUUCCAACCAUCAACUGUAGACUCAUCCUUGUAGUUUUGGAUAAUUUCGGCGUCAGAAUCCUACUCCCCUCAGUAAUGAAUGUUGCAUUGACAAAUUCCAAAGAUCGAAAUGAGCAUUUGAUUGCUUCGCCAUCUGUCUCCAAAUAGGGUACAUCACUGCUUACAGCUGCAAUGAUAUCCUCUUCAGCAUUUAUCGUUAUCAACCGCCCCUCUGAUACUAAUUUCAACUUUUGAUGCAACGAUGAAGGCACUGCCCCAGCUGAAUGUAUCCAGGGCCUUCCCAAUAAGCAGUUGUAUGAAGGCUUGAUAUCCAUCAAUAGGAAAUCCACCUCAUAUAUGUUUGGCCCGACCAGAAGAGGUAUCUCAAUUCUGCCCAUCUCCCUUCUCUCCGUACCAUCGAAUGCCUUCACUAUAUUUUGGCACUCUUUCAUGUGAGAGCUGUCUACAGGUAAUCUGCUUAGUGUGGACAAUGGUAGGAUGUUCAAGGUUGACCCAUUGUCAAUUAGUACUCCUGGUAGCGUAUAUCCCUUACAACGCAUGGUGAUAUGUAAAGCUUUCGUCGACCCCCUGCCACUGGGUGGUAUCUCGUCGUCAUUGAAGAAGAUAAAGUUAUCGACACUUAUGUUGUUAACCAAGCGGUCCAGCUUAUUGACUGAGAUAUCAUUGGCAACAUAUGUUUCAUUCAAAACUUUUAUCAGCGCGCUGCGAUGAACUUCCGAACUUAAAAGUAAGGCUAGCACUGAGAUACGAGCUGGUUGUUUAUGCAGUUGUUCCACAACGCUAUAUUCACUGUGCUUUAGAAACUUCAAAAACUCCUUAGCCUCCUCUUCGUUGACCGACUCAUUAAUAAGAAGUUCAGAUUUGGUCGUUUUUUCCUUCUUUUGUUCGACCACUAUGGCUUUUUCUUUUGAAAGUUCUGCCUUAUCACUUGCUGAAUCGUAGCGUCUCUCGUUACGUGUGUAGGAGCCCCUAUCUUGGUCAUCUUCUGAAGUGUCAACUAGGUUCUCUUUUCCUGGGAUCGUCACGUUACAGUCAUAAUUCUAUGAGACCCUCUUACUGUCUUUAUAGGGGAGGAUUGUAGGUCUUUAGAUUAUGACUUUCUGUGGCAUUUGCACUCUUGCUUCAUUACUUUUGGGUCGUGAUAUGAUGACCACGGGGUAGUUAACUGUUUGGUUCUACGCCGUCGAUUCUCCCUCUGACGCGCAUAUAUCUCCCUCUCCGGGGUUUUCGGUUUCUUCAUAAAAAUUCAUUUCUCUAUUAUUUAUCAUGUCCUGUACGAGGGCCCUUGAAUUUCAUGCCCCACCUCGUUGUGAAACUCACAAUAGUUCCUCUCUUCUUCAGAUUCUUCUCUUGAAUCUAACACGAUUAAUCCUCUCUUGACCAUCUCCUUCAACACCCGUCUCAAUGGGGUCCUGACCUCUGCAAACUCAUACUUGAUCUUUUUGCUUCCGCCUUCACUUAUCCCGUUUACUCCUUGGUCAAUAUGAUUGGGGAGCGGGUUUCCUGCUACAUUAGGUACGGAUGGGUCAUCAAACCUUAUAAUCCCUAUUUUAAUGAGUCUUUCAACUAGCUUCUUGAACGCGGUGCAGUUUUCGAUCGAAUGCCUGGUGAUUCCCACAUGGUAUUCGCAUUGGGCGUUUGUGACAUACCAUUUGGAAAACGGGGAUUGCAGUGGCUUCAGGUAGAAAGGGGACAUUACAUGAGCGUUGAAUAGGUUCUGGUACAGCUCCCUAUACGUCAUGGGUAUAGGGGUGAACUGUGGCCUUUCUGUGUUCUCCCUCGUGUUGGAUUCUUGUCUCACAGUGCUAUGUUGAUUGGCGGUCACCGUCUUUGGUUGGUUUACAGUGAGUGACUUGGACUGACCCUUACUAAAUGUGCUCAUGUUGUUCACUUCGUUAUCUCUUUUCCUCAGGGCCGAUCUUUUGGUACUUUCUCUGACUUCUAUUUUACUGCUCCUCACAGCAUUUUCAAUCAUUUCACCUGUCAUCACUAUGUCUGAGAAGCUUUUGGUGACACUCCCCAACAUAUGAAUGAUAAAAGGAGCCUUCAAAGUGUUGAUAAAGAGUAUUGUGGUUUCUUUUUCUAGAAGCGGAGCUGAACUUGUAUGGCAACUUCUCUCCAUCUUUGCGCAUACUGUCUGAACUUUCAUUUGGUUUCUUCUUCAUAUUCUGGAGAGUGAUCCUGUCAGGAGUCAUGUCUGUCACAUGACUAUACUAUUUCAUAAAGGCUUGAGCUAGGUCUUUCCAUGAGUUAAUCUUAGCAUGGCUCAAUUGGUUAUACCAAUUAAAUGCCACCCCAACCAGACUGUCCUGAAAGCAAUGAAUUAAUAGCUGGUCAUUGUUGACGUAUCCCGUCAUUCGCCUGCAAAACAUAGUGAUAUGAGCUUCAGGGUAGCUCGUUCAAUUGUACUUCUCAAAUUCAGGCAUUUUGAACUUAGGGGGAAGGACCAAGUCUUGGACCAAACUCAGGUCCUUAGCAUCAAUCCCGUGAUGACUAUCAGUGCUUUCCAUAGCUCUGAAUUCUUCCUCCACUGAUUUACACCGUUCUUCCAAUUGUUUUUGCGAUUCUAUCCUUACCUUUUCCUCUUCUGCGACUUCAUCCAAAUCGGGAACGAGUGGAUAAUUUGAGUUAUUAAUAGGGUUAGAGCUUGAGCCAGCUUGGAAAUUUAUUGGUAUCGCAGCUCCAGCCUGAAUUUGCUGAGGCCUGAUCGUAACAGAUGGUCUUUGCAGAUUAAUCUCAGGUUGUGUCAGUAUAUAUGUUGGAAUGAAGCCAAGAGGAUAUUGAGGGUCUUCAUUAUUUUCCCCAACAUUGUCCAUGGGACCUUUUCUUUUAUCCAUUCUUCCCAUCAGCAACUGGGAUAACUAACUCAUCAUCUCUCUUUGGGAUUCCAUCAUUUACUCUUUCAUCUCUCUCUGAAUCUUGGCUAGCUGAUUUUGCAUCUGUGACUACAUCUGUUCCUGCAUGUCCUUUUACAUUUGCUCCAAUUUCUUAAGUCUUUUAUCUAUUAACUUGGUCUUUUUUCUUGUACCGUAGGGGUGCGUAGUUGGUUGGUUUUUGUUGGUUUCCAGAUUACUAAAAUGAUUUUUAAUUAAUUAGAAACUUUUUAUGACCUUUAAUACAUAUGAUGUAAUGCAAUGCAAAUGCAUGAAUGCAAAGGACGCAUCAAUUUUGAUUCAAUUCCUUUUAGAAAACUUCACUAGAAAAUAAAAUUCGAUCUAACUCUAACUCAUACUUCACGCUCAAUAUGUCUGCUUGUACCGCUAAAGCUUGCAAGUAAUCGGCUACCUCCCAAAUCUGGGUUAUAGCUUCCCCCAUAAUGUAAUCCCUGUUUCUAACUUGGUCCUGCGCAUAGUGAAGCUGCUCCUUCCAACGCUUCUCACUUGCCUUGAAAAAUUGAAUCCGCAUCUCACAAUUUUGUAGUGACGCUUCUAAUUCUUCUACUUUUCCUUUCAUUUCUUCCACCUUACUCAAGCUUGCCCUCAACUCCAUUACAGUAUUACGGCUUAAGUAUUGAUGAAGAGACUUCUCAAGUUCUGUCACUCUAGCCCUUAAUUCAUCUAGUUCAUUUCUACUUUCUGACAGACUCUUCUCUAAAUCCUCAUUUCGUGCCUGAGCCUUUCAAAAUUUCCUUUCCCAUCAGUUGGCUUUGGUCUUUUCCUCUCGAAUUUCAUGGAGCCAUUGUUCGGAAGUUUUACCUAACCCCGCAGUCCUCAUAGACAGGCGUAACUUCUUAUAAUCUAUCUUCAAACUGUCUAGAUAUUCUUCAACCUUAGUUUUCCCUUUUCUCCACUUCUCAGCCUCUGAUCUCUGAAUGUCUACAUCUAAUCUCAGAUGCAUCUUUUCUUCCUCCAAUUGUUCGAUCUUUUUCCCAAGCUCAGAACUCUUUUUCUCGAAGUCUUGCUUUAUAAUUUCUAACUCUGACGGGGCGAUUUGUAAUUGUUCCACCAUAGGUCGAGCAUCUUCCAAGCUUGGCCUAGGAACAUUAUCAUUGACCCUCUUCCUAAACCAUCCAUUAUAUUCAGGAGUCACCAUAGAACCAAUAGCCAACCUCUUCAUCCAGCGAAUUUGCUUCCAAGCAUCCGAUAGCUCCCGAACUUUCUUCUUAUAGUGGUCACCUUUAAAGGAGAAUUCACACUGAGCAAACCCGUAAGUCGUAGGUACAAACUACCUCAAUUUAUAUUGCCUUAAUGCAAGCAAUGGAGUAUACCCAGUAGCUCCCCAAAUUCCUAACAAAGGCACCCAAUCAAAGUUCUCACAUUGAUACAGGAUCUCAUCGGGAACCAUCCAAAAUGCUCUCCGCUCUAUAUCCCUUCCUUGAGGUUUUGAAGAAUUUCCAUCCACUUCUCCUCUGAAAUAUCCUCACUCUUUUGUAUGGAUGCCUCCUCUUUUAGCUGGGAAUAACCUUCAGAAAACACCCAAUAAGAAACCUUGUCCACUUUCCAAAAGUGCCCAUGAAAGCACACCAUCAACAGCUGUGCGCACUCGAUAAACCGCCCCUCGCCUGUCUUCCGACACAUGCUCAAGGAUCUGAACGUCUCAUCCAAUAUUGCAGGUAUAGGUGUGAUUCCCUUCUCGAGACGAUCAAGUAAGUCAGUGACCGCCUCAUCCACGUGCCUUAAAGCCUUAGGAAAAAUUAUCAAUCUAUAGAUGCUUAAAGCGAAGAUAUUGACCCCUCUUUCUUUCAUCCUAAUAUGUUAAAACCAACUCUCUCAAAUUCUCCUAAAGGAUACAUUUACUAUCUCCCUUUUGUUGAAUCCGAGCAGUGACCCAAGGCUCGCUCAUCCCUAAAAUGUUCAUCAAUUUCUUCACGAAAGUCUGACCAUUAAAGACCUUGGCAUAAGCUCUUCUAACUUGAACUUUCGGACACCUGAGCAAAGUAGUAUAUUCCUCCACGGUAGGUACUAAAUCCACUUCCCCAAAAGUGAAACACUUGUAAGCAGAAUUCCAAAAUUGCACCAUAACUCGGAACAGAUGCUUGUCCACCAUAAUAUCUAGCAAGUAGGAUAUAUCACCAUAGCUUUGAUAGAACAAUUAUUUGGUCCCUUCACCCUAACGAGCCCAUAUAUCUCUCAACUCUUGCAACUAAUUCUGUGCUACAUUAACGCGAUUGAAUUCCUGCAACUCCGAUGUAUAUCCUUCUGCCAAGCUAUCCCCUUUCUCCGAUUGUAACUUUUCUGACCAUGCGCGGACGGCUGCAUUAUCCUCAACUUUAUUAAGAAAUUCAUUCUCCAUGUCAAACUUUCUAACUUAGAAAUCGAAUACAAAUCAACACCUCCUUUAGUAUGCAAUGUCAUGCAAAACACAAUCAAAACAAAACACAAGUUAGUAUCAAAUAAUAGUGAUAAAAUACAUGCACAUAAAAGAUAAUUAUAACACAUAUAUAAGCAAAUACUAAGGCUUGAUGCGGCUCCACCCAAGGAUAACUCUUAAGGUUUACUAUAUGUGGUUCGGUUCUUGAGAUAAGGUACCUGAACCAGCAGAUUCCUCAAUCCUCACCCAUUAUAGGCUCAUAUGGAUUAAGUUUGAUUCAGGGGAAUACAUUUCCCUAUGACCAUGAGAGAUGAAAAUCUCACGAAAUCAUAAGUACGGAUGUAUCCCGGAAGCAAUCCACUAGCCCAUGCGGAGGUGAUAACCUCACGAAAGCAUAGUUUCUUACUCCCACUUAGAAGGUGUGACCACAGCGAUCAUGCAAUGAAAUGCAGUAUUAUUCUAAAAGCCCGAACCAUAACAAUCAUACAAACAAAUGCAAUCAUGAUAAAACAUAUUUCGAUACUUCGACAAAAGGACAACAAAUAAUCGAUUUUAUGGCUCGACUCUUAAGGUCCCCAGCGGAGUCGCCAAGCUCUCGAAACCAUUUUUAAAUUUUAAGAAAAACAAAACGGGAUCAACUUUUUGAAAACGAAAAUGUGGAGUCGCCAACAAUCCUUUUUGUUUAGGUGUGAUUGGAUCACCUAAUAAAGUAUUUUAUUCCAUUUAAAUCAAUUUUGGCCUACGUAAAUUUGAGAAAACGAGUUCGGGAGUCGGUUACGUAUGAGGAAGGAUUAGCACCCUCACUACGCCCAAAAUCGGUACCAAAUUGAUUAAGUAUUGUCCUUAUAUCUAAAUUUUACAGCUGUUUUUGAAAUAUGGUUCCUUUUGAAGCAUUUGAGUGGCUCAAGUUGGUUGUCAAAAUUCUCUUGUUUCAGAGGAACGCAGCAUCACAUCCAGCACGAUAGGACACGAUCCUUUAUAUCCUCGAAAACAAAGAUAAAUUUUGACUUCCGAAAGUUUAUACGUUGAAAAUUACAAAAGGAUACCCAAUUAUUUAGUCCAACGAAAAAUUGAAACCCAACAAGGUAGAGCACGAUUCCCCGAAUUUCCAAACAUUGAACAUUGCCUUGUUUUAGAAUAUAGAAAACAUGAGUGAAAUUCUAAAGGAAUAUUCGAUUAUUUUGAGAAAAUGGGAAAUUGCAACCCAACACGAUGGGGCACGAUUCCCCGAAUUGCCAAACAUCGAACAUUUCCUUCGUUUUGAAGAAUUUUCAAAGACAUGAGUGAAAUUCCAAAGGAAUAUUCGAUUAUUUUGAACAAACGGGAAAUUGUAACCCAGCACGGUAGGGCACGAUUCCCCGAAUUUCCAAACAUCGAACAUUGCCUUCGUUUUAAAAAAUUUUUGAAUGAAUAGUUAUAAAACUAGCUUAAAACGCAUUGAUUUUACUUGAAGUAAAACGAAAUUAAUCUUAAAGAUUUGGACCUUAUAAGACCACAUUUCGUAAACCAAGUGGAAAACAAUGAUAUGGGAUAAUAUACACACAUAAGAUACUAUACUUGAUAAAUGAGGGUAAUGUAUCUUAUUUAAUCAACUAACAAAAUAAAUAAUUAAAUAUAAUUAACCUAAAAAUAUGACCCAAUUUCAAUCAUGCAUAAAAAAUAAUUGAUAUAGUAAUACAAAACGAAAAUAAUAUGCCACAAUAAGAUACAUAGCCUAGUACAUUACAAACAAUACAAAAUAUUCAAAAUAAAAUGAUAAUAAAAAAGACUAUGGUAUAAGACAAAUUUAGAAUAACGAUAAACAUGCAACAUAUAAUAUAUGAAUUGGUGAAACUUAAAAAAAAACUAGAGAUAUAUAUAUGUAAUUAUUUAAAUAAGUGUUAUAGAAUGAAUAUUUUUGAGUCAAAUAAUAUACAAAGAAAACAUUUGUUAAAAUACAUACGAUAAAAGAAAAUUUAAUAGUAUAUAAAAUAUAAAAGGAUAGCAAGAAUACAUAAUAAAAUAUAAUUCUAGGAAAUACACAUAAUAGGUUUACAAAACAUAUAUGCAUAUAAAUUGAUUUAAGAAUAAUUAUUUAUAAAAAUGGCAUGAAAUUAAUAAUGCAUACAAAAUUAAAUUAACCUAUAAAUUAUAUAUAGUACAUAAAAGCAUUUAAAUGAGAUACUAUAAAAAUAUUAGGAUAAUAUAAUAUAAAGAAGAGUUUCAAAAUAAUAAUUGGCAAACAUAAAAACGAAGCUCCUAAAAUAACUUUAUAUACAUAAGAGCAUUAAGUAAAUUUUAAAACAAUAAGUAUUUAAAAUAGAAAAUUCCACCGAAAUAAUGUAUGUACAAAUAUACACAAUAACAUUUAAAUGAGAUACCAUACAGAGUGUUAUGCAAAUAACAUGAUAAAACAAACUUCAAAACCCUUAUACAAAUAAAAAACCUAAUUAAAAUAAAUUUAAAAUGAAUGGGGAUGAUGCAUAAAUUUUUGAAAUUGGACUAAGGACUAACGCAUAAUGCGCAUAAAUUCCAAGGAACUAAAGUUGGAAAUAAUCCUGGCACUAAAGCGCAGGGCUUGAGAGUGGGCUGAAUUGAUGCGAUAUCCUAAUUCCAGGUGCCAUUUAAAAACAAAUAAAGUAUGAAUAGGGCCAGAUUCAGAAUCAGCGCGAAGGAGAAGGGCCACGCGCGCAAAUUUCCUAAUUUAAGCAAAGGCACCCGGAUCCGGCCUGCUAAGCGGGUCAACGCGCGGGUCUUGCCUUCUUGAAAUGGCACUGUUUUUGACACAGCCCUUAAACUCCCCAUUUCCAUUUAUUUCUCUUCCAAAACACAACCAAUCUUUUAGCCCUAAAUUACAGCCCUAAAAUCGACUUGAUAUGGCUCAUUCUAGCAAACGCCGAAUCACCAUUUCAUUCGGUGGCCGACAAUGCACGAGCAGCGACCAGAUUCCACCGACGAAGGCACCAUUCAAGGAAACCUGGUAUGCUAUUUUAUUUUUUCUUUCUUUUUUUUUUUAAAAAAAACCCUAGAUCUAAUACUGUUCAUUCAAGAAAGAUGAAGCCAAAUAUAAAAAACACUUAAUACCAUCCGACCCUCGUCCAUAUCUCAAUAUUUUUGAGAUAUUUGGGACUUCAUUGGUGUCGUUUCGAGUAUUUUGUAUGCAGAGGAUUGUAAGUAAUUCGAAAGAAAAAGAAAAAGAACAAGAAAUCACCUCUUUAAAAUUUCUUUCUAUUCAAUUGCUUUGUAUAUGUUGUUAUGUGAAUAAUAUGCAUGUAAAAAAAAAGGGAACUUUACAAUCAAAAUCCAUAGGGCUUUAUAAGUGAAUAAUCAUAAGAAAAGAUACAACAAUUUUUCUCUCUAUUGGCUGUUGCUCUGCUGCUGUUCUCUUGUUUUCUUUUGCAGGUACGGGGUACAGGGCGUGUGAUGGCACUUGGUGUGAGGCGUACGGAGGAGUGGGCGUGGCUGUGGCGCCAGGAGGCCGUACGAGGCUUGGAGGCUAGAGGUUACUGUUGCGGCGCAAGAGGGGGUGACCUAGGGUUUCUGAAACUGUUUUAGUUUUUGGGCCGUUUGGGCCUUGAAUUUUUGGACUGUAAUUGGACUUUUUAUUAUUAGGUUUUUUUUAAUUAUUUUUUAUUUUGGGCUUUGAUGUAGACUCGGGAAAAUUGGCCCGUUUACACAUAUUUUAGACUAGAAUGUCAUGUCAGACACAUAUCCUACCCCCAUCCGUUACACACGAACUCCAUCCAACCAAUCACACCAAUUAGGACUAAAAAGGUUCAUCCAUCCAAUCACACCGGGUCGUGGUGG